GCCUGUUCUCACACUUCAGCAUGGACACAGAUGUGUGGCAUAUGGAGCGGCUUCUUCAGGGAGGUGGACAUGACGGUGCUGUCCUUAAAGAUUUGCCUGCACACACACACGCACACACACACACACACACACCUCCUCCUUCCACACUGCAAUCUCAUUCAGGAGCUGAAGGGAUGCACGCAAAGAGGAAAAAGGAGAAUGAGUUCCAGAGAGAAAGGAAUGGAGGGGAGGAGAAGGAGGAGAAGGAGGAGGAGGUGGUGCCUCUCUGCUCCGGUCUCGACCACGGGUAUUCUUGGGUUGAUAAUACAGAUGUGGAUGUUAUUGCUUGAGAAUACGCGUAGUCGAGUGGAAGCUUUGUCAUCUACAUGUGGGACCAAAAGCAGAAGUCUGUUCAGUAGAGCACAAUGGCCAGAGAGCAGGCAGACAUGUAUGCAUGUAUAGGUGGCACAGACAUGGGCUGAUGAGAUGUUUUGUUUUGUUCAGUCAGAAAUGGAAUGCAAUCAGGGAGCGGCCAAAUCAAAUCCAGGUGCUCCAAAGGUUUUUUAUCAUCGCAGGUUUAUCAACCAUGUCGCUCUUUACACCUGUGGAGGAAAUGAGUUUGUUUGGCUGGACGGAUUCAGUGUCUCCUGCAGAGCAGCCUCAGCGUGCGGCUAAUACCCCGCGGGCAUUAGUUCAGGGAGCUUAACACAAAGACGUUAAUUCCAAACCCUCUUGAUUACGCAGCCCUGUCAUUCAGUCAUGCACAUAAGUGAGCCUUUAAUCUUAUCAGCUGAUGAGCGACUUUCACAGACUUUCAAAUCUGAAAAGUCGGCAGAAAAAUCUGUGCCAAAAAAAAAAGACAUGAAACCGGCACGGUGCCAUCAUAGGAUGGUACAUUCAGACUGUUCGUAACCAUCACCACCACCACUGCACUACCAACUACUCUCACACUCCUAUUUUUGAAUCCCCUGGCCGGCUCAUGCUAAAAAUGUGCGAGAGUUUGAUGCCUGUAGCAGCAACAGGAGACAGUAACACAUGAGGACAUGUCAAGGCUUGCACCCGUUGCUGACAUUUCAGCGUUCGGCUCAGCUGACUGGCUGUCAUGAUUGGAGACUCACACACACACACACACACACACACACACACACACACACACCGUACAUAAACUGCAUGAGGGGGUUCACAUGAUCUACAUGCCAGCAGGGAAAUUGAUGGAUCUUAUGAAAACAAACACACAGACACAUCUCCAUAUGUAUAUAUUUAUAUAUAUAUGAAUGCACAUUGCAGCUCGGUUCACUGGGUCCAUGUGCCAGAGGGGAAAUAAGGGAUUGAUUGAUUUUAUGGGUAACUAUUUUUAGUCAGAAUGAUGGAUGCUUAUGUCUGUUAUUGAUCAAGUCGAGGUGCAGGUCUGAAGAAUUCUUGGACGUCCGGGCAUGCUGAUUAAUCAGGUAGCAAAAAGGUGUCGGAAUAAAACAUCCUGAAUUACAUUUUUGGUACAUUAGCAUUAUUGCUAAGUAUUAUAAAUUAGAAAAUCAACAUUGCAUUGCAAAUUCAGCAAUACAUUAGCAUCUGUUCGCAAAUGUGCCCAUGAUAAAUUACACUCGUAUCAUUUACUAUCCCAUGAUCCCUUACUACUGCGUAAGCAAAUCUCUUAUUUAUUAGCACGCUGUGUGAUUAUAAUUUAUACAGAUUUCACACCAGCGUUGUGUAAACUUGUUGAUCGGGCAAAGCCGUUUCUGUCGUUUGGUGUGUAUUUGCGUAUGCAUGUGUGUGUGUGUGUGUGUGUGCUUCUAAGCAACAAAAUGACUAUUGUGAGCACAGCUCCAGGUGCCUAGCAACCGAAUCGCUGUUUCCUUGGCAACAGUUGCCUCGCACUCACUGUGUGGGUGAUUGGCAGCCUUGACAACGGAGACGGAGUGACACUUGACCUCGCGUGCUGAAUGGGAGAGGAGAAAGAGGGAGCGAGGAGCAGAGGAGAGGAGGGAGGGAGGGAGUGGGAGGGGACGUGCAGAGACAGAUGAGAGACUAAGUGAUAAUCAUUCUCCAUUGUAAUCAUCCUCCAGCAUGUUUCAUAAGGCGUCGGCAAUACCUCUCCAGCUGGGGUCCAUCAUCAAACACAAUACACAGUGCAGCGCGGGCAUGCACGGACACACUCUUCCUGGGUGGAGAGCCGAGGCAGGCACUCCACAUCUCAUCUAUUAUCACUCAGCCCUGCCUGGUGCACAGCCUUGCUACACUGUGUCUUCUUUCAUUUGUGAUCUGCUACAUCCUGUGCUCUGCGGGGAUGAAUGGAUACUGGACUCACACUAAAAAUGUGUCACGGUCACAGAUGCCGCAGGAGAGUAGAUCAGAAGCUUUUUUACUCUGCUCAGACGUUUUACUUUGAAAGUGACAGUUUCUUUGACGUCUGUGAAUUUAAGUGCUGCACUUAUUAAAAUGUUUUUUACCAGCUCAGGGCAUCCUCAUUGUACUAUACUCACUUUAAUAACAAAGCAUGUUUGUGUGUAAUGAUAUAUAAAAGCAUGAACUUAAAUAAAACCUGGAUUUGGAAGUCUGUUCUUUAACUUUUACUAUUAAAUCUAUAUUAUACUCAACACGAGUCAAAGGCGUUGUAUUAUCCUAGUAUUGAGUGUAAAAGUAUUUGAUUUUCUAAAACCAUUUUCUUCACUUCAUGUAAAGGUUGCUCCUCCGUUUGUCACCAGCUGGUGGCGCUCAGGAUGUUUGUGCUGAGGUUGAAUCACAACCUGAAAAAAUAAAGACUUCUCCAUUCAGCUAAAGAGUGUGACAUCCAGAGUGUCAGGAUUUGAAAUCAUGUUUCAUAUUCUUUAUAAAAAUAAAAAAAACACCACACUUCCUGGUAUCAAGUCUUAUUGCUCCUUUAUUUCACACGUUCAUGAUGUUAAAAAAAAACAAACAGCUCCUUUCAUGCUCUUUAACACUGAUGGCUGUUGCAUAGGAAAAUAACACCCAACACUGUUGCUUGAUUUGGAUUUCAGGAUAGGAUUACAGUUUCUGUACAUAUGCACUAAAAGAAGACAACACGCGAUCAACUGAAAAAAACUGAAUGAUUCAAGAAACAAUUCAAAACUUCUGAACGUAGCAGCUAAAGCCUUAAACCUUAUCCAUUCCUCUCUCCAGUGGAAUGACCUAAUGUUGUGACACGCCUGUGUGGAGAGCUGAGGGUGGUUAUUACCGUGAACACAACCCGUGACAUCAUCACACCUGCACGGAGCAGCCCACCUGGAAAUGUAGGUCCUGCUGCUGAUGUGUGCGACACCGCGUGACUGUGAGGAAAAAGUUCAUGUCUGACCCGUGUCUGUGCAGAUCCUUCUUCUCAUCACACUAACCAAAAAAGAUUCAAUCUUCUAUUGAUUUUACAUUAAAAAGACGGGAGCUCACUCUCACUACAGGCAAAAUAAUAUCAAGAA